rnacentral:lncRNA from 1 species
CAUUAGUCCACAGCGCGUGCCAGAGGAUAAAGCGAGACUACUUAGCUAAAGCCAGGAGCUUCGAAUGAUCAAGGAAGUGUUCACGCUUGAGACCCAUUUGUUAGGUCCUCAAAGGCCUUGGACCUUCCUAGACACCCGUUAGAGGAAUCAGUGCUAGUCUCUCUUCCAUCCCAAUUUUUAAAUGUACUUUGGGAUAUUUCAAAAGCAUUCCUUCUACUAUGGAAGGUUUCCCUAGGUGCAGGGAAAGUUAUAAAAGGAGAAGAAUGUUCUGGAGACACUAUUGCCAUCCCCAGACCUCUUGGCCCAUGUCCAUCUUGGCAGCAAAUAGAAGUUAUGCUAUGUGGGUGAUGCUGAAUAUAGUUCCCUGUGCUGUUCAGCAGGACCUGGUUUAUCCACUGAUAAAAUAUUUUAACUCCAGAGUGUGGAUGAGAAACCUGGCCCCACCACUCCACAGUGGAGCCUGACUGCACCAACCCUGGCGCCUAGAAGCCAGGGCUCCCUGGGGCACUGGGACUUCUCCUCAGGACACUUCUGAGACCUUCGGGUACUAACCACACCCUGCGGAGGGGACAGGACACGACGACAGAAACAGGGGCUAAGGAAGAGACAAGCAUCACGCACCCCGGCGGCCCUAUUAUCUACACAAUGAAAUUACACCACGAAUUAAACAGGCGAAGUACCUCAGACUCGGGGAGCCGGUCACUUGGUCAAGUUCUCAGCUCACAGGAGGCAGAGCAGGUGUCAAACGCCCAGUUCACAGCUGUUCUCACACAUUUGCUCAUGUAGUCAUUCAAAGGUCAUUGGUGAGUUUCCGUGUGUGUGCAGGUCUGUGUUCCCACCGCGGCCACUGUGAUGGGGACCCAGGUCAGAGCAGAGGCAGGAUGGGAAGGAAACCCGCCGCUCUGCCCUUGGGGCGGGAAAGAGAAAGGAGCCCUGAGCAGCUGCGAACAGCCGCAAAGGCGCCUGCGCCGCAGAGGCGCUCCGGACAGACCCGGCCCCGUGUGAGUCCAGAACCUGCAGGGGCAGCACCUGGGGGCUUCCUAGCAACGCACACUCCCCCCCCACCCCCCGCCCCGCCACCUCCCAAGUCCCAGUCUGCAGAGUAAAACCAUCCCCGUGGGACCCGCAGGGGAAAUGUGCUGCCCCCAAUUACAGACAGACCCGUGGACAGAGGGCGGAGAAGGAUGUGGGAUUAGUUAGGAAGGCUUCUUGGAGGAGGCUUCCAGCAAUGAAAGCCGGCUGCCACUUAGGACAAUAAGAUCCUUGGCCUCCAACAGCUUCUCAAACUUGGCUGCCAGGUGAAAUCACCUGUGGUUUUAAAAAAUGAUUCCUGCCCCCCAAACCCAGAAAUUAUGACUUAAUCGAGAUGAGGCUUCAGCACCGAGUUUGUUUUUCUUUUGCACCUUAGGGCCGCACCUGAGGCAUAUGGAGGUUCCCAGGCUAGGGGUCUAAUAGGAGCUACAGCCACAGCAACGCGAGAUCCGAGCUGUGUCUGCGACCUACACCACAGCUCACGUAAAGGCCAGAAUCUUGAGCCACUGAGCGAGGCCAGAGAUCAAAGCCGCAACCCCAUGGUUCCUAGUCGGAUUCGUUCCUGCUGCGCCACAACGGGAACUCCACAAUUUGGUUUUGCCGCCAAGUUUACAAACCACUGACCUUUGCUAUAUUUAAGACAUAAAGGACUGUACCUGGACGAGAAAACAGAGUAAACAGCGAUCAGGUGAUUCUGCAGGACCAGGAAUGUGCGUUUCUGUGUGCCGAGGAUGAGGUAGAUGAUGAGGGUGAGGCUAGGGUUUGAGACCCCUCCUGCCCCCAGUUCGGCCUUCCUGGCCCCAAGUUCUGUCUCCUUUUCGCUUGCCUCACCUGGAUGCCUGGAUUCCGCUGCCGCCUAGUGGUGGUUUUCAGUACAGCAUGCUGUCCCUGAAGGUUUCACAAGAGCGGAGCCUUCAUCACAAACUUGAGUCCCAGGGUGUGUCUUGCUGGCUGGCAUAGCCUAGGAACUGUACACGCUGAGCAGUGUAGCAGGAACCUCAGGAGUUGCUUCUUUGCAGGGAAGCUGAGGGAACUCCAGGUCCCUGACCAAGCACAGGGCUGACACUGGGCUGUGACUAGAGACUUCCUAUGCCUGAGAUUUGAGGAAAUUGGUCUUGUCAGUGACAAGUGCCUAUGAAUGAUAUCAAGCAUAAGGAAAAGGUGAAAGGUAACAAGCUUCAACAAUGACCAGCCACCCCUUAUUCUGCUCUGAAUCAUUGAACAGACCUGCCCCUCACACCUGUGGACACCUGUCAAGCGCAUAAAUCGAGCCCAUACUAUGUGUUUGAAUAUUUAAAGUUACAGAUCAAGCAGACAAACUGUCAAGUACACCUGUGUAACCACCUCGCAGCUGCCAUUCCUGGGCCCUGCAGCUCAAGCCACAGGUGGGACAGCAGAGGGACAGCCGCCCCCAGUCCCCGAGGGCUCUUCCCACUCUGGCUCCGACCCGCUUUGUGCCCUGAGGAAUCUGCUGCUCAGUCAAGAGCACACCCAGCUUUCAAAUCCAAGCUCAGGCCACCCUCCUCCGGCCCCAUAAACAGCUGAGACUUGACCACUUGUGGGGCUAGGAGAUGAGCCCCAGGGGGCAGGCCUGCACUAGGACUGGGAGUAGGAGUCUAGGGUUUAGGUGCUCAGUGCAUGGCCUGGGAAGAGGGGCUCCAGGUGGACACACCCCCUUGUCCUCUCUGGCUGCCUGCCCCACGGGGAGGGUACAACCAGAGGGAGACCUGAGCAGGGCCUUCAAAACCAGCACUUCUCAAACUUUAAUGUGAGCAGGACUCACCUGGGAUCUGAAGACUCUGAGGCAGCAGGUCGGGGGAGAGACCAAGAUUCCACGCCUAACAGCCUCCCCGCAAAGCCGCUGCUGCUGGUCCACAGGCCCCGCUUAGCAAAGCUCUAAGGUGGGGUGGGCGGGGGUUUCUGCAAAGGGACGCGAGGUACAUUCUCAGGCUCUGCAACACCUCAGCUCUGCUGGUGCCACACAAAUGCGGUUGCAGACAAAGUUGGUGAGCCUGGCUGUGUGUCAAUACAACCUUGUUGGUGAACAUUGAAACUUGAAUUUCAUGAUUUUUCUAUGACACAAAAUAUUCUUCUUCUGCGGAUUAUUUCAACCUUUUUAAAAUGUAAAAACUGUUCUUAACUCAUGGGCCAUAAGAAACAGGACCAGACAAAGCCUCAAAUCUCUAAAAGAUAAGGAUGUUUUAACAUUAAGCACAAUAUCAACAUCCCACCUAAAAGCAAUUAGCAAAAAUAUUUAAUAUCAUCAAACACCCUUUAAGUGUUUUAAUCUCUAACUAUAUUAUAGAAGAUAGGUUUAACCCCAUUCUUAAAUAUAUAAUCACUGUCUAAUCUGUCUCUUUAUUCUUUACCUGUAGCUCUGGAUUCUUUCCCAGUAGCUCAGCAUCUUGCACCCUAUGUUGUCAUACUACAUUUCACCAAUAGGUGGCACUAUAACCCUGACAUUUGCUAACAGCUUGGCACCCAAGAAAAAAAUUGUAUGCAAUUUGCAAUUAUAAAUGAGUACAUGAUCACAAAAAUUGAAAAAUAGCCUGUUUCCUCUGUGUAACAUGUGAUAAACCUCAAUACAUCCCAAUUUCAAGGAAAAAAAUAUUGAUGUUAAAUAAAUUUCUUUUUUAAAAAAAACAAACAUGAGAAGCCCACUGCUCUGUAUUGAGGUUCACUUUUGCAUUUCCAGUGUUCAGUAACUGAGGCCCUUAUAUUCUCCUGCUUAAGAUAAAAGCAAAUUGAAUCUAUUUGCACAAUUGAUCUAAAUGUCAAAUACCCAUUUCAAUUGUACCAUCUGAAUUGUAUUGUGUGCCUACCUCUGAAUAAAACAGUUUCUUUU